CAGUAGCCGCGGUAAUACGGAGGGUGCAAGCGUUAAUCGGAAUUACUGGGCGUAAAGCGCACGCAGGCGGUCUGACAAGUCAGAUGUGAAAUCCCCGGGCUUAACCUGGGAACUGCAUUUGAAACUGUCAGGCUGGAGUCUUGUAGAGGGGGGUGGAAUUCCAGGUGUAGCGGUGAAAUGCGUAGAGAUCUGGAGGAAUACCGGUGGCGAAGGCGGCCCCCUGGACAAAGACUGACGCUCAGGUGCGAAAGCGUGGGGAGCAAACAGGAUUAGAUACCCGAGUAGUCCCUGUCUCUCAUAC
rnacentral:rRNA from 1 species